AUGAUUGUGGAAAUUGGGAAUGACGGUGUUGGUGCUGAAGAACGAGAACGAGAACGACCGUGGUUUAGUGGAUUUCGAAGCGUGAUUAGGAGGAAGCAAGUUGAUUCUGUUCAUUGCAGGAGUCAUCCUCAAUUGGCUAGAAAGUUAUCUGCUGUUGAUCUCGUUGGAAUCGGUACCGGUAAUAGAUCCUCGUUUGCAUCAGGUGCCUCUAUUCGAAUCUCCUUUGCUUUAUCAGCCCAAUGA